rnacentral:rRNA from 1 species
AUUGAACGCUGGCGGCAUGCCUUACACAUGCAAGUCGAACGUGAAAGGGGGGCAACCCCCGAGUAGAGUGGCGGACGGGUGAGCAACACAUCGGAACGUAACCCAGUAGUGGGGGACGAACCUCGAGAAAUCGAGGCUAAUACCGCAUACGACCCACGGGUGAAAGCGGGGGACCGCAAGGCCUCGCGCUAUUGGAGCGGCCGAUGUCCGAAUUAGCUUGUUGGUGGGGUAACGCCCACCAAGGCGACGAUCGGUAGCUGGUCUGAGAGGAUGAUCAGCCACACUGGGACUGAGACA